ACACCGCCCCGCCUUCUCGGUCGCGGUGCGUUCGCCGCGCGGGGAGGGAAGCCCAGAGGGAAGCCGCUAGGCUCUCGGCUGGCGCCAGCCGGUGUUCUCCGUUCAUCAGCUCGCUUGGUUCUUACAACAGCCCUGGGCGAUAGAGACCCUUAUAGUCCGUCUUCACAGAUAAAGAAAUGUAAGUUUCUGAAAGUUACCUGCUCAUGGAAAUACGGCUGAUAAAUGGUUGCCCUGGAGUUCUCACCAGGCGUCUUCAACUAUUAGAGCUAUCUCCCAACUGUAUUCUAACCAGGACGGGAACCGAAGGGAACAGUUGAAAUCGUUUUCCAGAAAUAGUGGGUAACUGAAGGGAUAAAGAUAAACUGGUUUUUCAGAAACAGUAUGUUGUCUUCGUGCUCAGCCACUGCCACCCCAAAGUGGAGCCUGCCUGUUCCAGGACCUUUUCUUUAUUCCCUGCCAAUAAAAAACUUACAUAAGCUAUGUCAUGUCACACUAUGUAACCUACUACUUGUUUUACUAUUGCUUUUAAAAAUCAAUGGGGGGGGGGGGAUUAUAGAAACGACAGUUGACACAAGUGGAAUAUGGACUACAGAUUGGAGUAUCACCCAUGUUAAAAGUCAGAUUUUCCUAACUGUAUUGUUAGCUAAGAGAAUAUCCCUUUUCUUACAUAAUACACUGAAGUCUUGAGUGAAGCGAUGUGAUGCAUGUUACCUACGCUCAAAUAGUUAGGAAAUAACAUGUUUAUAUAUGUGAGGAGAGGGUAAGAGUGACAAAAUGGCAAAUUAUUUAAAAAUAGUGUAUUUGGGUAUGGUGGUUUUAAGAUAUGUUCCCAAGUUCACUGAUACUCUUCUCUGGAAGAGAUGGGGUCUGAUUCUCCUCCCCUUGAGUGUAGGGCUGGGCUGAGUGACUCUUUUCUAAUAGGAUAUAGGAGAAGUGACACCAUUGACUUCAGAGGGUAGGUCAUAAAAGCAUGGCAUCUUCUAGCUAGGUCUUGUUCAUUCACUGUGGGCCCAAGUCUGGGGGAAGCCAGUUGCCAUGUCAGGACACUGCCAACAGCCUGUGGUCAGAUCUAGGUGUCCAGAAACUAAGGCCCCCUACCAGCAGAUAUCCCUCAGAUGCCUACUGUCACUUGAACUUGAAGCAGCUGGAGUCAGAGACAACUACCCAGAAGCAACUACCUGAUGCUGAAAAGGGAAAUGGAGCUAUUUGGAAACUGGGCAAAUGAAUAAUCUUCAAAGUCUUCUCAACAAAUAUUGCAAAAAGCUUUAGCCAUCUGAGCAGGGUUCUUAAACUCACCAGGGGAGUAAGGAAGGUCAAUUCCUAGCAGGCCCAAGAACCUCAAGAUCUCUUGGAAACCUCUAGAAGACAGAAGAGAGGAAUUCACUCAAUUCUAAAGGUACUGCUGGCAAAGUCUAAUGGCGAGUCCUUGGCUUGGCUUCCCAGCCUUGAGAAGCUUUUAAAAGUCCACUCUGAGACUCCUUCUGAAAAGUUCCAGCAAAGCAGACUUUAAAAGAGCCUAGAUGGUUAAUCCCUAUUCUUACAUAACUAAUCAGACCAAGCUUCAUGAAACCAGACUAUUUUGCAAACAAAUGAGUCUCACUGUGUUUAUCUUUGCAGAAACAGAGAUACUGUAGAGAAAAAGAAAUUGUAUUUCGGUAGCACAGUAUUGUGGAUAUCAGAUACUAGUCCUGUUCAAUGUCUUUGAGGUUUUGUUACCUACCUAUAAACCGGACUGGACCCUGAAUUCUUCUAAUUUCCUUCAAUAUCUGGCUGACUCUCCAAACUGACAUUUUCAAUUUUCUCCCACUGUUCCAAUUUGGAAUCACUAAGAACAAAAACUGCCCUUUUGCUAAAGCCCUGUAAGCUGAAGCUGAACAACUUGAUACAAAUUGUGAUACAAGUAAUCCUAGAGACAAGGAUUAAUUCUUGUGUUUUGGUAUAACCUUAUUUCAGAUUUUUAUUAAUAAUAUUAUAUUUGAAAUUGCUUCUUUUUUAAGUUGUUUUUUUUAAGUAUAUAUUUUGAGAGA